CUCCCCGCCGGUCCGGGGCCGCUUUCGGAGCGGAGUCGGCGGGAGAGCGGCGCCCGGCGGGGACAAAGCGGAGGAGGCCGAGCUGAGUCGGGCGCUUCCGCAACAGGUCCCGGCCCGGCGCUCUGCCGCUGCGGGCGGCGGGGCCGCCACCGACCGUCCCCAUGCGGUUCGGCUCGAAGAUGAUGCCGAUGUUUCUGACAGUGUACCUCAGUAACAAUGAACAGCACUUCACAGAGGUGCCAGUCACCCCUGAGACAACAUGCAGAGAUGUGGUGGAGCUGUGCAAGGAGCCUGGUGAGAGUGAAUGCCACCUGGCUGAGGUGUGGUGUGGCUCAGAACGUCCUAUAGCCGAUAAUGAACGGAUGCUGGAUAUUUUGCAGCGUUUUGGGAUGCAGAGAGGUGAAGUUCGUUUCUUUCUUAGACAUGAACGCUCUCCCUGCCGGGAAUCAGGGACUGGACAAAGGUCUCAAGAUCCAGCCUUAAAAAGAAAUGGUGUGAAAGUGCCCAGUGAUCGAAGAAUGGAGAAUGGAGUCAGUGCUCCAAGGAUGGAUAUGACACUGGCUGAACUUCAGGAAAUGGCAUCACGCCAGCAGCAACAAAUUGAGGCUCAACAGCAAAUGCUGGCUAAUAAGGAACAGCGUCUGAAAUUCCUGAAGCAGCAAGAUCAGCGACAGCAACAGCAAGCUGCUGAACAGGAAAAAUUGAAACGAUUAAAGGAAAUUGCUGAGAAUCAAGAAGCCAAACUUAAGAAAGUGAGAGCGCUGAAAGGCCACGUGGAGCAAAAAAGACUCAGCAAUGGGAAAUUAGUGGAGGAGAUUGAACAGAUGAACAGCCUGUUCCAGCAAAAGCAGCGUGAGCUGGUGCUGGCGGUCUCAAAGGUAGAGGAGCUCACCAGGCAACUGGAGAUGCUGAAGAACGGCCGGAUUGAUGGCUACCACGACAACCAGUCAGCUGUAGCUGAGCUCGACCGCCUGUACAAGGAGCUGCAGCUGAGGAACAAACUGAACCAGGAGCAGAAUGCCAAGCUGCAGCAACAGAGGGAGUGUUUGAACAAGCGCAACUCAGAGGUGGCAGUCAUGGACAAGCGUGUUAAUGAGCUGCGGGAGCGCCUGUGGAAGAAAAAGGCAGCUCUGCAACAGAAAGAGAAUGUACCAGUUUCUUCUGAUGGGAAUUUACCCCAGGCAGUGGGUUCUGCUCCAAGCCGAGUGGCAGCAGUAGGUCCUUAUAUCCAGUCCUCUACUAUGCCACGUAUUGCUUCCAGACCUGAACUUUUGGUGAAGCCGGCGUUUUCAGAUGGAACCCAAGCUUUGCAGGCAGCUGAUGGUCCACUGAAAACACAAACUUUGCCAAACAUGCGAGCUGGGAGUAGUUCACAAGCUAAAGUUCCUGCAGGUUCUGUGGUCCCCAGUUCAAAACCUUCCCCAUCUGCUGACUGGAGUAGCUUAGAUGCCAACAACCAUAUAAGUCAAGGAUCUGCCUUGACUUCAGGAAAGGGAAUUGUGGCUGGUGAAGGUCAAGCUGAAGGAGAUGCUUUUUUACGAGACAAAGAGAAGAAAGUACGUCCGUUCUCGAUGUUUGAUUCUGUGGAUCAGUCUGCUGGGCUGGGUAUGCUAAGGAAGAACCAGAGCAGUGAAGAUCUCUUGCGAGAAGCUCAGACAGCCAAUAAAAAUGUAACAAAGGUACCACCACCUGUCCCCACUAAACCAAAACAGAUAAACUUGCCUUAUUUUGGUCAAGCCAGUCACCAGCAACUUUCUGACCCUAAAUUGGAUGGAAACCUGCAGAAGCUGCCUUUGGCUGUCGCAUCUAUGGGGAGCAAACAAAAACCAGUGGCACAGCAGCCCUCCCAUCCUCAGCAGAUACAGCGGAUUUCUGUACCCCCUGUAGGUCCUUCCUCUAGCCAGGACCAGAUUCUUCCCUCUUCCAAACAGGAGAGUCCCCCAGCAGCCGCUGUAAGACCUUUUACCCCUCAGCCAUCCAAAGAAACCUCACUGCCACCUUUUCGAAAGCCUCAAACUGUGGCUGCAAGUUCCAUUUAUAGUAUGUACACACAACAGCAGACUCCUGGGAAGAACUUCCAGCAAGCGGUGCAAAGUGCUUUGACGAGGGCACAGACCAGAGCGCCACACUUCCCAAGUGUGUAUGGCAAGCCUGUGAUGGCAGGAGCAGGUGUACAGAAUCAGCUGCCACAGACAGAGAACAUCUACUCAAACCUCCAAGGCAAGCCAGGCAGUCCAGAGCCUGAGAUGGAAACAACAGCCUCUGCUCAGGAGAGUCAUGAAACGGAGCGAAUACCCCGUCCCCUCAGCCCAACCAAGCUGCUGCCUUUUCUGUCCAAUCCAUAUCGCAACCAGAGUGAUGCUGAUUUGGAAGCGCUACGGAAAAAGCUGUCCAAUGCACCCAGACCACUGAAGAAACGUAGCUCCAUUACUGAACCAGAAGGACCUAACGGCCCCAACAUUCAAAAGCUGCUAUAUCAGAGAACGACUCUGGCUGCUAUGGAGACUAUCUCAGCUCCAUCACACCCCUCCAAGCAGACAGCAUCAGCUGUCAGUUCUGAAAGCCCAGUGGAAAUCCCAAAUCCUUAUGCAAGUACAGAAUCAGAGAAAGAAACUGUUUCUUCUAUGCCUGAACCAACCAUUGUUGAGGAAGCAGAAAACAUACCAGCAGAUCAGAGCGAAGCUGUUCUUCCCUCUAUUGCUUUAGACACAGUACCUGAAGGAGUAUCUGAUAGCGAUGAACCCGUGCAGCCAAAAAUGGAAGAACCAAGCCAUGAGGCUCCACUACCCCUGGAAGUGUACAUGGAGGAGUAUCCUCCAUAUCCACCGCCUCCAUAUCCAUCAGGAGAACCAGAGAGUUUGGGAGAGGACUCAUUCAGUAUGCGGCCUCCUGAAGUUACGGGGCAGUUCUCCUUGCCUCCUGGGAAGAGGACGAACUUGCGUAAGGCUGGCUCAGACAGAAUUGCUCAUGGAAUGAGAGUGAAGUUCAACCCCCUUGCACUGCUUCUGGAUUCAUCUUUGGAGGGGGAGUUUGACCUCGUGCAGAGAAUCAUUUAUGAGGUUGAAGAUCCAAGCAUGCCGAACGAUGAAGGGAUUACUGCACUGCACAACGCUGUGUGUGCCGGGCACACAGAAAUUGUGAAGUUCCUGGUGCAAUUUGGUGUGAAUGUGAAUGCUGCAGACAGUGAUGGAUGGACCCCAUUACACUGUGCAGCAUCUUGCAAUAAUGUGCAGGUGUGCAAGUUCCUGGUGGAGUCAGGCGCGGCUGUAUUUGCUAUGACCUACAGUGACAUGCAGACAGCUGCAGACAAGUGUGAGGAAAUGGAGGAAGGCUACACACAGUGUUCCCAGUUCUUAUAUGGAGUCCAGGAGAAAAUGGGAAUAAUGAACAAAGGAGUGAUUUAUGGACUGUGGGAUUAUGAGGCUCAGAAUGAUGAUGAGCUCUCAAUGAAAGAAGGAGACUGCAUGACAAUCCUGCGCCGGGAAGAUGAAGAUGAGAUUGAGUGGUGGUGGGCAAGGCUGAAUGACAAGGAAGGCUAUGUCCCCCGCAAUCUACUUGGGCUGUACCCAAGGAUUAAGCCUAGACAAAGAAGCUUGGCAUGAAGUAGCGGGGAAGCCAGAUUCUUGAAGUACUUACUAAUCGUGGAUGACUUACAAAGAAAAAAUUCAUUUUGUGUUGGUUCUAGUGUCAUGAGACUUAUUUCAAUGACAAUGUAAUUUGAAACGAUGAAGAAUGUGCAUUGAAAACAAAUGAAGGAUUGAAACAUUAGCAAAUAGAUGAGGGCAUUCUGCAAGCUGAAAUAAUGCUUGCAAGCAAACAGAAUUAUUCUGCCUGCAGUCUAAGCAAGCCUAAUGUUGAGGUACCCACUCUCAUUUCUCCAAACACGGCAGAGAAGACUUUCACGCUUUUCUGUGUUAAGUACAAGAACCUUUUCAGUUUACCGUUGAAGGAGUCAUCAUGAGACAGACAGACAGCUUUGUCCAAAUCUAUCCCGAGGCUUCUUCCAGAUGGGAGGAAUUAAAAAAGUACGUGCGCAGCACCCAAAUGCUUGUUGUUGGAAGCAGAACAUUUGCUGAAGAAGUGAAACUGAAGUGUAUCUGAGCAGUGGAAAACACGUGACCAAUCCAGCAGCUGGUUCUGUUCUGGACAACUGAAGCUCCACAUGCGUUCUGCAAGACUCCCUCCCAAAGAAAUGUUGCUCAUUUUCAGAAAGAAUAAGGAUCUUGUAAUCCUCAUUUCCAUGGUUAUAUUUUUAUUUAAAUACUUUCUUGUAUUUCAAAGGAAGAUAAAUAAGAUGAAGGAACUCAGGACCUGAGAACAUGUUCUUUAUCUGGUGAGAGUCGAGUUGCUGACAGCCUCCUCCUGCUUCAGGGACAUGAAUGGUCAGGAUGCAGAGACUUGUAUUCAGUUUGUUUAAAUGUGCUACUUGCUACUCAAGUCCCUCAAAGAAAAUUUAACCUGAACGAAUAAUGUUGGAGCUUAACAGAAAACACACAGGGCCCCAAGUCUUGCCUAAACACCUGUGUUCUGGGGCGAAGCAACACCAUCCCCUUUCAGAUAUGUGGACUUCGUGGUGCUGCUAUUACAAAAGCACUUACUCAAGCAUAAUAUCCUUUCUUCCUAGAUUAAAUAUGAAGAUAAUAGCAAAGAAACAUUUUCAAAAGUUGCACUGAAGAUUCAUACAGUAUUAAAGCUGUACAGAGGAUAUACAGGAUUAUAUAAAGACUAUUAAAACUAUUAAUCAA